UGAGUAACACGUAUGCAACCUGCCUGCCACAGCCGGAUAAUCGGGAGAAAUUCCGUCUAAUACGGCAUAAUGCAUCGACGGGACAUCCUGUUGGUGCCAAAGGUUAAUUCCGGUGGCGGAUGGGCAUGCGUCGCAUUAGUUAGUUGGCGGUGUAACGGACCACCAAGACGACGAUGCGUAGGGGUUCUGAGAGGAAGGUCCCCCACACUGGUACUGAGACACGGACCAGGCUCCUACGGAAGGCAGCAG
rnacentral:rRNA from 1 species